UUUCUGCUGGGUUGAUAUUGCAUGACGGUAUACGUAUUAUCAUGUACUUGAAAACUCGUAGCUGCAGUUUGGCGUUCCCCAAGAUCAGUGGACCACAACGCCUCAGCCUUUCAUAAUGACUUCUUGAUGUAAUGGCCGCUACGCCCUUUCUGGUAUCUCCAAGACCAGUGGACCUCAACGCCUCUAACUUUGGGUAUUGAAUAGCCAGCCAUCCUUAAUAAACUUUAUAAGUCAUGGAAGCUACACAAAUUAUGCAAUC